rnacentral:tRNA from 1 species
GCAUGGAUGGACAGUCACGGACGCCGACGGACACCGGGUGAUCGAGCUUAAACCUCCCAGGCCGCAAGGCCGUGCGGGUUCGAAUCCCGCUCCGGGCA